UUUUCAGGUAAUUUUCCCAUCUACACUUUUUGGAACGGGUGAAAACUGGACUUUUAUGAAAACUAUCAGUGUUACUGAAUACUUAAACUAUGAAGCAGGGAAGUUUUCAAAAAGUAAAGGUAUAGGAGUCUUUGGAAA